CAAAAGGGUGGAACCAAGCUGGGGAAGAGACAGAGAUAUUGAGAAGCUGUGCCAAGUCCAUGCUGAAUCUUUCCCUCUUGUAUUGUUCAGGGAUUCAAAUCAUCACUGAAGGUAAAAGCUCUCACAGACAUGAGGACAUCAAAGUCCUUCAGAGCAUGGCCAUAGGAAAUGCUCGUCACCAUUUCAACAGCUCUAAAACUGGAUGUUGCAGGUGUCUCGCAUUGACAGCUGCAAUUUUACUGAUGCUGUGCAGCACAGGAUAUCCACUCUCAUUACGUUUCAAGACACAGGAAAUGCAACUCAGUAUCUGAAUGCAUAAGAAGGAAGGAACCUUUUAAAGUUCAAGGAUUCAAGAAGCCUGUUGACAGCAAUACACACUGGUAUAUAAAAAUCAAUUACAGACUUUAAUACUUACAUGUGCUGGUUUCCAAGCCCUCAAAAGCCCCCACUGAGGAGGUUCACAAAUGGGAAGUGAAGAACUACCAGGCACUUGGAUCCUUAUUGUGAAGACUGACUGAAGAGAAGCAUGCAAAACAGAAGGUGCUAUACAAAAACCUUUGAAUCAGAAUGGGUAGUUACACAAAUAAUAAACAAAAUAAAAAUAUGUUGAGAAAUACGCAUGUGUUCACUGCACUCAAAAUUAGUCUGUUGCAUU